rnacentral:rRNA from 1 species
GGUUAAGCGACUAAGCGUACACGGUGGAUGCCCUGGCAGUCAGAGGCGAUGAAGGGCGUGCUAAUCUGCGAUAAGCGCCGGUAAGGUGAUAUGAACCGUUAUAACCGGCGAUACCCGAAUGGGGAAACCCAGUGUGAUUCGUCACACUAUCAUUAACUGAAUCCAUAGGUUAAUGAGGCGAACCGGGGGAACUGAAACAUCUAAGUACCCCGAGGAAAAGAAAUCAACCGAGAUUCCCCCAGUAGCGGCGAGCGAACGGGGAGGAGCCCAGAGCCUGAAUCAGCAUGUGUGUUAGUGGAAGCGUCUGGAAAGGCGCGCGAUACAGGGUGACAGCCCCGUACACAAAAGCGCAUGUGCUGUGAGCUCGAUGAGUAGGGCGGGACACGUGGUAUCCUGUCUGAAUAUGGGGGGACCAUCCUCCAAGGCUAAAUACUCCUGACUGACCGAUAGUGAACCAGUACCGUGAGGGAAAGGCGAAAAGAACCCCGGCGAGGGGAGUGAAAAAGAACCUGAAAC